AUGUUCUAGACAGAGGUUAAUAUUCCUACUACAUGAAAAACUAAAAAUUAAGGAGCAAAGUAACAAAAACUUGAUAGAAAAAAAUGGGGAAAGAAAUGAUCACACUCAAAUAUAUAAAAAUGAACCAUAAACAUGAAAAACAUAUAAACUCAUGGGUAGAGAAAUCCGAGCUAAAAUGAUACUGGGAGGGGGCUGGGGAUGGAGCUCAGUAGAAGAGCACUUUCUGGGCAAGUUCAAGCCCCUUGGUUCAGUCCCUAGCACCAUGUAAUACCAUUUAGUAUCUGUUAUUGGGCUGCUGAAAGCUAAGAAAGUAUGACAGCAUGUCCUGUUAAGCAAGUCUGUAGAGAAGCAGCCCUUCUCAUUGCUGGUGGAAAUGCAAAUGGAAACCACCUACCAUAGUUUGGAUCUUGAAUUCCCCCAAAGGCCUGUGUUUUAAAGACUUAAUCACCAGCCUGUGGCACUACUGGGAGGUGGUGGAACCUUUAGUAGGUGGGUUCUAGUGGACAGAAGUCAGAUUGUGUGCCCUUGAAAGGGCUCUUGGGACCCUGGUUGCUUUCUGCUUCCUGGCUGCCAGGAGGUGAGCAGCUUUCUCUACUACAUACUCCUCCAUGACGUAUUGCCUUGUCAUAGGCCCAAAGGAAUGUGACCAAAUGACCAUGGAAUGAAACCUCUGAAGUGAUGAGACAAACUUUUCCUCCUUAGAGUUGAUUAUCUUAGCUGUUUUGUCACAAUGAUGAUAAACUGACUAGCAUAACUCCUUCUGUAGGGGAAUUUGUAUAUUAUUUCCAGAACCCCCUGGGAUACCAAAAUUUGUAGAUGCUCAAGUCCCUUAUAUAGCAUCCUCUUGCAUUUUAAAAAAAUUGUCCUGGGGAUUGAAUCUGGGACCUUGAGCAUAUUAGACAACUGCUCUGUCAAUGCCCUAUGUCCCCAGUCCUUUUAAAAAACUUUAUUUUGAGAUAGGAUCUUGCAAUUCUGCUUCAACCUCCUGAAUAGCUGUAAUUAUAGGCAUGCACCACCACGCUGGCUUGCUCUUCCAUAUUUUAUUAUAUUUAUUUUUAGUUUUUAAAUUUAACAUGUGAAGACUUAAAUUAUAAUGAUAGGGUAGCACAGUUUUUUUUUGAUACAUAUGUAAAUUGUGUAAUGAUUAAGUCGGGUUAAAUAUUUAUCACUUAUUUAUUUUUGUAGUUGUAGGUGGACAGCAUGCCGUUAUUUUAUUUGGUCAUU
rnacentral:lncRNA from 1 species